rnacentral:rRNA from 1 species
AAUAGAUACCCCGGUAGUCCACGCCGUAAACGAUGAGUGCUAAGUGUUAGAGGGUUUCCGCCCUUUAGUGCUGCAGCUAACGCAUUAAGCACUCCGCCUGGGGAGUACGGCCGCAAGGCUGAAACUCAAAGGAAUUGACGGGGGCCCGCACAAGCGGUGGAGCAUGUGGUUUAAUUCGAAGCAACGCGAAGAACCUUACCAGGUCUUGACAUCCUCUGACAACCCUAGAGAUAGGGCUUUCCCCUUCGGGGGACAAAGUGACAGGUGGUGCAUGGUUGUCGUCAGCUCGUGUCGUGAGAUGUUGGGUUAAGUCCCGCAACGAGCGCAACCCUUGAUCUUAGUUGCCAGCAUUCAGUUGGGCACUCUAAGGUGACUGCCGGUGACAAACCGGAGGAAGGUGGGGAUGACGUCAAAUCAUCAUGCCCCUUAUGACCUGGGCUACACACGUGCUACAAUGGAUGGUACAAAGGGCUGCAAACCUGCGAAGGUAAGCGAAUCCCAUAAAGCCAUUCUCAGUUCGGAUUGCAGGCUG